AGAGUUUGAUCAUGGCUCAAGAUGAACGCUGGCGGCGUGCUUAACACAUGCAAGUCGAACGGACCUGUACUGAAACCUAGUGAUUUACAGGUUAGUGGCGGACGGGUGAGUAACGCGUGGAAAACCUGCCGUAUACUGGGGGAUAACACUUAGAAAUAGGUGCUAAUACCGCAUAAGCGCACAGGCCCGCAUGGGACAGUGUGAAAAACUCCGGUGGUAUAUGAUGGUUCCGCGUCUGAUUAGCUUGUUGGCGGGGUAACGGCCCACCAAGGCGACGAUCAGUAGCCGGCCUGAGAGGGUGAACGGCCACAUUGGGACUGAGACACGGCCCAGACUCCUACGGGAGGCAGCAGUGGGGAAUAUUGCACAAUGGGGGAAACCCUGAUGCAGCGACGCCGCGUGAGUGAAGAAGUAUCUCGGUACGUAAAGCUCUAUCAGCAGGGAAGAAAAAAAGUCUUUGGCUUUGGACGGUACCUGACUAAGAAGCCCCGGCUAACUACGUGCCAGCAGCCGCGGUAAUACGUAGGGGGCAAGCGUUAUCCGGAUUUACUGGGUGUAAAAGGAGCGUAG
rnacentral:rRNA from 1 species